GAGAAUGAAGCAUGAUAUCAAGAUGAUCAGCAAUUAAAGGUUUAAUCAUGCUACCAUAUAAUUUCAGACUAUUGAUUUUGCUCAACUAACUCACAGGAGAAGGAUUUAGAUUACCAGUGCAUUUAGCAUUCUUCAAGCCAAAUACCUUUUAGCUUCUUUACACCCUUGGCUGAAGAAAAUCUCUCUUUUUUUUGUUUGCAAGGGAAUGUUUAUUGUAUCUUUCAUCGAGGUGUCCUUCAAGUUGAAAUUUCUUGCUCAUAAAUCCUGUAUCAUUAAUAAAAUCUUUUUCUUUUUUUUGAAGGAAAGUCAUUAGUUUCUUCAAGAUACAAAACAUUCAUACAAUAUAUUUCUUAGCUAGAUGACUCAACAUAAGAUAUGACAAUAAUUGAAUAUUAAGUCACUUUACUUAAGAGAUUGUCUAAAUAUAAGCAAGCAUAAGUCACUUGAACUAAAGAGAUAACUUCAUUAAGUAAAAUGGUUCAAGGACAAGCAUGUGAGGCAAUAGAAGGAUUCAUCAAGGUCAAAUCAAUUUUUUUUUAUUUUCAAAAUUAAUUUAGCUUAGAUUCUAUUUGCUUAAGAUAAUUAUCAAUAAGAUAUACAAGUUGAGUUUUAAUCAAAUUAUCUUAAACAAUUGUUU
rnacentral:lncRNA from 1 species